rnacentral:rRNA from 1 species
GAUGAACGCUGGCGGCGUGCCUAAUACAUGCAAGUCGAGCGAAUGGAUUAAGAGCUUGCUCUUAUGAAGUUAGCGGCGGACGGGUGAGUAACACGUGGGUAACCUGCCCAUAAGACUGGGAUAACUCCGGGAAACCGGGGCUAAUCCCGGAUAACAUUUUGAACCGCAUGGUUCGAAAUUGAAAGGCGGCUUCGGCUGUCACUUAUGGAUGGACCCGGGUCGCAUUAGCUAGUUGGGGAGGUAACGGCUCACCAAGGCAACGAUGCGUAGCCGACCUGAGAGGGUGAUCGGCCACACUGGGACUGAGACACGGCCCAGACUCCUACGGGAGGCAGCAGUAGGGAAUCUUCCGCAAUGGACGAAAGUCUGACGGAGCAACGCCGCGUGAGUGUUGAAGGCUUUCGGGUCGUAAAACUCUGUUGUUAGGGAAGAACAAGUGCUAGUUGAAUAAGCUGACACCUUGACGGUACCUAACCAGAAAGCCACGGCUAACUACGUGCCAGCCGCCGCGGUAA